rnacentral:rRNA from 1 species
AGAGUUUGAUCAUGGCUCAGGACUAACGCUGGCGGCAUGCCUCAUACAUGCAAGUCGUGCGAUCGGCCCGGGGUGGGCAACCACACCGGGUACGGAGCGGCGAACGGGUGAGUAACGCGUAGGUAACCUGCCCCGCGGACCGGGAUAGCUGAUCGAAAGAUCAAUCAAUACCGGAUACGACGACCUUCCCACAUGGGAGGGUCGGGAAAGGUGGUACUUCGGUGCCAGUACCGCGGGAUGGGCUUGCGUCCUAUUAGCUAGUUGGUAGGGUAACGGCCUACCAAGGCUUUGAUGGGUAGCCGGCUUGAGAGAGCGAACGGCCACACUGGAACUGAGACACGGUCCAGACUCCUACGGGAGGCAGCAGUAGGGAAUCUUCGGCAAUGGGCGAAAGCCUGACCGAGCAAUGCCGCGUGCGGGAUGAAGGCCUUCGGGUUGUAAACCGCUGUCAUAGGGGAAGAAGGCAGCGCGGAGGAAAUGCCGUGUUGUUGACGGUACCCUAGGAGGAAGUCACGGCUAAUUACGUGCCAGCAGCCGCGGUAAU